UGAUGGCUGCAGCUAUGACAAGCA
rnacentral:misc_RNA from 1 species